AAAUCCAUACCAUAGGGACGAUAAUUACAUUUUAGCUUUGUGUCUAGGUUAUUGUUAUUUCCUGUGUCAAAGAUUGAAUCACCAAAGAAAAACACAGCCGGUAUGGUUUUGUUCUGUGGCUUAGGUGGUGAUGGGGCAGGUGGCUUGGGUGGGCUAGGUUUUGGCGAUGGUGCAGGUGGCUUGGGUGGGCUAGGUUUUGGCGAUGGAGAAGGUGGUGGAACAGGUUUCGGAGCUGGACUAGGUGGUGGCUUAGGUGGUGAUGGUGAUGGACCUGGCUUUGGUGAUGGACCAGGUGCUGGUGGUGGCUUUGGUUGCGGUUUUGGUGGUUGCGGUGGGCAUGGAGACGGGGUAGGUGCCGGUGGUGGCUUUGGUUGCGGCUUUGGUGGUUGCGGUGGGCAUGGAGACGGGGUAGGUGCCGGUGGUGGCUUUGGUUGCGGCUUUGGUGGUUGCGGUGGGCAUGGAGACGGGGUAGGUGCCGGUGGUGGCUUUGGUUGCGGCUUUGGUGGUUGCGGUGGGCAUGGAGACGGGGUAGGUGCCGGUGGUGGCUUUGGUUGCGGCUUUGGUGGUGGCUUUGGUUGAGGCUUAGGUGGUAUUGGUGGACAUGGAGAUGGACCAGGGGCCGGUGGCUUUGGUUGAGGCUUAGGUGGUAUUGGUGGGUUUGGAGAUGGUCCAGGUGUUGGACCAGGCUUUGGUGAUGGGUUUGGUGGUGGGCCAGGUUGUGGAGGUUCCAUUGGCCAUGGAAACGGCCAAGGUCUCGUUGGCCAAGGCCUUGUUGGCCAAGGCCUUGUUGGCCAAGGCCUUGUUGGCCAAGGCCUUGACGGCCAAGGUCCCGCUGGCCACGGCCAGAGCCGUCGGUGGACUACUUGAGCAUGGGUCGUCGUCAAAAAGUAGAUACAAAAGGAUAUGAAAAAGAAAACAAAACGAAAUGUUAUCGAAUAAGAACAAGAAUGG
rnacentral:lncRNA from 1 species